rnacentral:snRNA from 1 species
GGAUGUGAGGGCGAUCUGGCUGCGACAUCUGUCACCCCAUUGAUCGCCAGGGUUGAUUCGGCGGAUCUGGCUGGCUAGGCGGGUGUCCCCUUCCUCCCUCUCCGCUCCAUGUGCGUCCCUCCCGAAGCUGCGCGCUCGGUCGAAGAGGACGACCUUCCCCGAUAGAGGAGGGCCGUUCUUCGGUCAAGGGUAUACGAGUAGCUGCGCUCCCCUGCUAGAACCUCCAAACAAGCUCUCAAGAAUAAAUAGAUAAAUAAAUAUAUCUUAAAUAUUUGCUC